rnacentral:rRNA from 1 species
AAUCAACGCUGGCGGCGUGCCUAACACAUGCAAGUCGAACGCGAAAGGGGCUUCGGCCCUGAGUAGAGUGGCGAACGGGUGAGUAACACGUGGGUGACCUACCUUCGAGUGGGGGAUAACGUCCCGAAGGGACGCUAAUACCGCAUAACAUCCUGCUUUUGAACAGGUGGAGAUCAAAGCUGGGGAUCGCAAGACCCGGCGCUUGAAGAGGGGCCCGCGUCCGAUUAGCUAGNGGUGAGGUAAUGGCUCACCAAGGCGACGAUCGGUAACCGGCCUGAGAGGGCGGACGGUCACACUGGGACUGAGACACGGCCCAGACUCCUACGGGAGGCAGCAGUGGGGAAUUGUUCACAAUGGGCGCAAGCCUGAUGACGCAACGCCGCGUGGAGGAUGAAGGUCUUCGGAUUGUAAACUCCUGUUGCCCGGGACGAAACGCUUCGACCUGAUACGUCGAAGCC